rnacentral:sRNA from 10 species
CCCAUGGGUACAUCAAGGACUCAAAGUGGAAAAGGAAAAUGAUUCAGGGGUGGUUGAGACGUAGAUUGAGGUGUCCGCGUACUCCCAUCUUUUGGGCAGGUACUUUGACAUUCAGUAGUCAUAUCUCCCAUCUAGAGUCACUCCGCUGACGGUCAAGUUCUAAUUACGUGUAUAUGACUAUUUGUUGUGAAAUGCUGAGAUUCACUUGUCAAAUUAUAUGUAUGUAUAUAAUGGUUGAUGAUGCCAUUAUGAAUACAUGACUGGGUUUUAUGA